rnacentral:lncRNA from 1 species
UUUGUAUGGGAGCUCUGUCUUCACUCUAUUAAAUCUUGCAGCUGCACUCUCUUUUGGUCCACAUUUGUCAUGGUUCGAGCUGAGCUUUCUCUCGCCGCCGUCCACCACUGCUGUUUGCCGCUGUCGCAGACCUGCUGCUGACUUCCAUCCGUCCAGAUCCAGCAAGGUGUCUGCUGUGCUCCUGAUCCAGCGAGGCGCCCAUUACAGCUCCCAGUCGGGCUAAAGGCUUGCCACUGUUCCUGCACGGCUAAGUGUCCGGGUUCAUCCUAAUCAAGCUGAACACUAGUCACUGGGUUCCACGGUUCUCUUCCAUGACCCAUGGCUUCUAAUAGAGCUAUAACACUCACUGCAUGGCCCAAGAUUCCAUUCCUUGGAAUCCGUGAGGCCAAGAACCCCAGGUCAGAGAACACGAGGCUUGCCACCAUCUUGGAAGCAGCCUGCCGCCAUUUUGGAAGUGGCCCACCACCAUCUUGGGAGCUCUGGGAGCAAGGACCACCUGGUAACAAUAGGCCAAAUACUGUGCUGAUAAGCUUGAAAGCCUGCCCUGAAUCCUCAUCUAUUGAUGGAGAUGGUGUCAUCUUCCCUUGA